rnacentral:rRNA from 1 species
AGCGAACGCUGGCGGCAGGCUUAACACAUGCAAGUCGAGCGCCCGUAGCAAUACGGGAGCGGCAGACGGGAGAGUAACACGUGGGAACAUACCUUUUGGUCGGAACAACCCAGGGAAACUUGGGCUAAUACCGGAUAAGCCCUUACGGGGAAAGAUUUAUCGCCGAAAGAUUGGCCCGCGUCUGAUUAGCUAGUUGGUGAGGUAACGGCUCACCAAGGCUACGAUCAGUAGCUGGUCNGAGAGGAUGAUCAGCCUCACUGGGACUGAGACACGGCCAGACUCCUACGGGAGGCAGCAGUGGGAAUAUUGGACAAUGGGCGCAAGCCUGAUCCAGCCAUGCCGCGUGAGUGAUGAAGGCCUUAGGG